GGUGCUGCUAAGUGAGCAUAAAGUAGGGUGUGAAAUGAAGUCUCACAUCGCCUAGGUAUGUCAUUGAUGUGUACUAGGUAAGUGUAAAUUCACCCUCACCUCAAGAGUUAAUUUUGGGGUUGAGUGCUAUCUAAGGCCAUCUAACAUGAUAUUAGAGAUCAGGCUGGAGGAGGUCUUUUGGUUCAAGCCUCUCCAUUUGCAUUCAAUCUGUCUUCUAAGGAACAAAAGUGCCGAAAACACCAUGUACCAUGUUUUCGUAUAUGUAUAUAUUUUUUAUAACAUCUCACCCCUACUAUAAUUAUUUUUAAUUCCGCCCUCCUCCCCCCUAUUUGUAGUUAUUUCUUCUAAUUAUUUACUUAAUUUUAUGUAUGCAUGUGUGUAGGUUCUCAUUUCAGCGGCUGGGCAGCUGUCAAAGCCUUUCACUUCUGCCAUCCUUUAUGGCAACAGCAACAAUUUUGAUUUUAAGACAGUCUUUCGGUCUGGAGGGUUCCCUUCUACCCAUUCCUCCGUAAUGAAUACUUUGUCACCACGCAGCUGUGGCCACCGCGAUGUCCCUUGGCUUUGAAUGGUGGGUAAAAUUGGUAAAAUGCUGCAUUUCCUUUGCGCCCUCCUUAAGGUGGAUGUUUGGAGAUUCUGUGAUGUUUGCAGAUUUUGUAUUUUUUUAACAUUUGAAAGUGCAUGUUGAUUGGUUUGGUGUGGGUGGGUGAGCAAGUUGCUGAUAUAUUUCUCGAGGAGGUUUAAUAUCUACUGUUGUUCUUAUGAUUGCAGAGGUCUUUCGGACGCAGUUUUUGGUUUAGCAGUUGUUUAUGCUAGCCUUAUCAUGUAUGACGCUCAGGUAUACAUGUAGUGUGUUUUUUCUAUUUUAUUCUCAUCUCAUAUAGACUUAUGCAGAUCUCCUACUUCAGAAGGAAAAGUGUUUUAUAUUCAUGAAUCACAACAUUGCAUUGAUGCAAUUCAGUUUGGCUGCUUGGUUUACCAAAAUCUGGGCACAAACCUACUUGUGUCACAUAAAAUUUUAUCUAAUACAGAUCCACCCACAUUAAGGAUGACAGAAAUGUCAGCUUUUGUUAGCAAUGUUUCUUUGCUGAAUGUUUGCUAAUGAGAGUCCCACCACGUAUCAGAUUAAAUUUAAAACAAUAUUUGGAUUUAGGUCACAUAAUUAGAUUUACUUUGAAUUUCUGGUGAUUCCAUUUUCUUCUUCUGCACACCCACCCUUUUCUUUCCCUCUCUGAAUUCUGAUUGGGAGAGAGAAGGCUGUACUUGGCAUCUCUUAUAACUUUUAGUUAUGCUAUGUGCAACUACUGAACUUUUGGUUAUGCCAUCAUCAUUAUAAUCACUACUAAUUCUAUUACUGAGGCCCUUGCUAUCUCUUCUAACUUUAUGGUUGGUUAUUCAUAGACUUGACUCAUCCUUGUUCAAUGGUUUACUAAUUGUCUAUCAUGUUUCACAUUCAAGUGCUCUAACACCUCAUUUGGGAGGUAUUGGCGAUUGAAAGUUAAACUAGAUCCCCAUGAAGAUUGAAUUAUGUUUAUUUUUUGAGAACCAAAAGAUGUGCGACUCUAGUUUCUCUAGUGUAUCAAACAAUAGUGACCAAAACAUGUUGAUAGAUCUCCAGCCCAUUGUAAGAUAUGCAGUUGUUUCUGUGGGUAGAUAAUGAGUUCAGACUAACGCUCUGUUUGGUUGGGAGAUUUGAUGAGGGAUUUGGAAAAGGAAAUGGAAAAUGUAUGUGAAAUGUGAAUAAAAUAUACUUACAUUUCACCUAAUUUCACACACAUUUUCUCUUUUUCUUUCUAAAUCCCUCCCCAAAUCCAACACAGCAUAAAAGUAUCAAGCCUCAUUCAGAAUUUUUACUUUUGCAAGGAGUGAGAAGGGAAGUGGGCAUUCAUGCACAGGCAUUAAACAGGGUUUUGCUCCAGAACUCAGCUUCUUCGAAUGAUGCCGAUGAUUUGAUUGAUUCUCAACCUAGAAAAUCAUCCUCAAAUUCAAAAAGUUUUGGGCCUUUGUUCUUGGAGGAAGCAGAUACCUUUCAAGCAAAACAGACAAACACUAAACUAUUACUUAGAUCUGAGAAUCGAAAGAGUGAAAGUGGUAUCCUGAUUUCAUCUAGCUUAGCAUCUGAUGUUGAAGGAGAAUCCAAAAAAAUUGCAAAUAGUUGGGCCAUGCUAAAAGAAUCUGUUGGCCACAAUGAGAUUGAAGUGAUAGCAGGUGCCUUGUUGGGACUAUUUGUUAGUUUUGCAGUUUAUAUCUUGACAUGAUAUUCUUUCCCGCUUGUUGUUUUUGUUUAUUGUAAUAUUUGGCACUCGGUUCAAGAUUAUUGCAACCAAUAGCCAGCUAUCCUUAAGCUUUA